AGAGGACCAGCUCCCACCCAUGCUGCUUCUAUCCUAUGGAUCACUUCCUUUUUGAAAAACAUUGAGUUUUCAGGACUAUUCUGGUUCUCUUAUCAUCUGGUCCCUUUCUUUCUAAGCCAAGAGGGGAAGACAUGUGGUGGGCUCUAGCCCUACGUUUAGCUUUCCUGCUUCCAUCCAUUCAGAUAGCUUCCAACUUGGACGGGAGAAUCAUGUCAAUCACCAGGAAAACAGGGUCAGCUCAUGCUAUCACUUGUGAUACUCAACUAGGUACCAACUACAUCCACUGGUACCUCUUCCAGGAGAGCAAGGCCCCACGACGCCUUCUCUAUUAUGACUUCCUUAACUCUAAGAAGAUGGUGGAAUCAGAAAUCAGUCCAGGGAAGUACAGUACUGUUAAAGCCACAGAUAAGAGGUUUAAAUUGCUACUGACGAAUCUAGAAGCAAGCGACUCUGGAGUGUAUUACUGUGCCACCUGGAUCAGGCACAGUGAUUCAGUUCUGCCCUGA